GUUUGUUGCCAUUUCCGAACUUCCAUCCCAUUGUGAUGUGCAUAACCAGUCGGCUUCCUUAGCCUCAUCCUCCACCCAGGGAAGCUCCGACCACGCCAGCACCAGGAAGGCCAGCCGGGGAGCAGCCUGGCCCAGGGGUCAGGAGCCGGGGCCUGUGUGACUGGGGCCUGUGUGGCUGGCACCUGGUGGAUGUGAGCCCCAGGACAGGGAGUUUCUGUGCCCAUGAGAUGGAAGCAGCUCACUUCUUGGCCCCUUUCAAGAAUCUGGGAAGAGCUCCAGGAGUCAGAGGUCUGGGUGCCAGUCCCAGCUCUGCUCCAAACUGGCCGUGUGACCUCAGCGAAGUUAUUUCCCAGUUUUGUUUUCUUCUUUUACAAAAUGACAGGGUGAGAGUCGUGAUUGGUUUUCUUAGUGUCAGAAGUGCUGAACUCUGUUAGAAAGCGUCUCAGGUUGUUUUGUUUGACAGUGACUACCCACUUUGCAGAGACCUGGGCUGCCCGCUCUCUGGGGAAUACUGGAGGUUAUGCCCCAUCUCCUGUCCUGUGGGAGAACCCACCCUCCGAACGAGGCUCUGGUGAGGUUUUCACAAUCAGUAACAAGGCCGAUCUCCAUCAAUGGAAGUCUCCCCGUUUGAGAUGGGGUGUGUGCUCCUUACCCAGGCUCCUGAACAAAACCCACCUCCUUGUCUUGGCACCACUGAGAGUGCACACCGAGGGGGCUCCAGCACCAGAUUGUGGGAACAGUCACGAGAAAGCAGCUCAGACUUCACACCCAGAGCCCUUGAUCCCUACACACCCAGUAUUCCUUCACAGCGCUCUUCCUGCUUCCUGGACACGUGGAACUGCUUCUCCAUCGGGGAGGAUCCAUCCAGAGCCCUUUGGGUGGGUGCUCAGGGCAAUAGCUGCUGCCUCUUCCUUCUGCUCAGUGCUGGGAGGCGUUACACUUUCCCCAUAUGGCACGGAGCAGAACGUGCACCUUUGGCUCUGGAAGGAAUGAACAUCCUACCCGUUAGUUAGCCCUGGGAGUCACUGACUCGGUUCUUCCCUGGACACCAAUGUCCUAUGGAGCACACAGAAAGCCACGGAAGUGUGGUCUGCGGGUUGAGGUGGGUAUUCAGAUGCCAGCCUGCAGCCCACUUACAUUGUUUCUUUUGGACUGACACCUUGCCGGAUGCUCAGAUGCCCACAGCGCAGGGGAAGGGACGGCCUAGAGUCCGAGGCGUGGGCAGGGAGCUGGCCCCCGUCCAUUGCUGCAGCUCCGCAGCAGCAGGACAGCCCUGGGAGGUGGAGACGGACUCCGUUCAUGUGGAUAAGCAGAGGAAAUUUGGCAGAAACGACCAAAUGCAAAAUACGUGUAGCAGCCUGAGACCGGCCGUCUACUGAAACAAAGGAUGCAGUUCAGUCGGAAACCACGCUUAGCUGAGUAGCUGUCUUUAGCCAUCCAGGCCCUGAGAACCAAUGAACAACCCAGCUUGGCCGCUUAGAACAUUUUUUCUAUACUUGAGUUAAAUAGAUAUCCAAGAACCAUUACUCGUUUUUAAUGUGGAGAAGUCGGUAUUCUAUUCUCGUGUUCUAUGUUUUUUAAAGUGGCAAUUUGAAUUAUUUCGUGCGAUAGAAAACCUUAAACACAAAGUAACGUUUCUAACAAAAGGGCUGUCGAUCAAGUGACAAACACGUCCUACUUUUAGAUACAAGCACGACUGAGGCAACGGCACGAAGACGCCUAAAGUGGGCUGCUGGGGAGACAAGAUCUGGCCGCGAAUGGAACUCGCGGCAGCUCAUUAACGGGACCGUCCAGCAGGAAGGUGGGUUGGCAGCCUUCUCCCAGGGCUCCCCACGAUCCCUACCCCUGGUGUGGCGUGGCCUUCCUCCUCACAUGUCGUCUGGACCAAGCAGUGUGUUGUUCUCAUCCAUAAAGAGUGAUGGGCCGGGCACGAUGGCCACACCUGUGAUCCCAGCACUGUGGGAGGCUGAGGCGGGAGGAUCUCCUGAGCCCAGGAGUUUGACACCAGCCUGGGUAGCAUAGGGAGACCCUGUCUCUACAGAAAAAAAGUUAGCCAGGUAUUCCAGAGGCUGAGGUGGGAGGAUCGCUUGAACCCAGGAGGUGGAGACUGCAGUGAGCCGUGAUCGCACCACUGCACUCCAACCUGGGCAACAGACUGAGACCCAGUUUCUAAAACAAAUAAUAAAAAGGCAGGGUGCAGUGGCUCAUACCUGUAAUCCCAGCACGUUGGGAGGCCAAGGUGGGCGGAUCACUUGAGGUCAGGAGUUCGAGACCAGCUGGCCCACAUGGUAAAACCCCAUCUCUACUAAAAUGCAAAAAUCAACCGGGCACAGUGGCACACGCCUGUAAUCCCAGCUCUUCAGGAGGCCGAGGCAGGAGAACUGGGAGGCAGAGAUUGCAGUGAGCUGAGAUCGUGCCACUGCACUCCAGGCUGGGUGACAGAGCUAGACACCAUCUUGAAAAAAAAUAAAAGUUAAAUAAAAAGAGUGAUGAGGCAUCCUGAGAUUCAUUUAUAAAAUGCCGUGAUUCAGGUCUCAGGGCACUGUCGCCCCUACUCACUUUGAUGAAGCCAGUGCUGGGUUGCUGCUGAGGUGGGGAGGUUCAUGGGCCAGGAACUGAAGGCAGCCAUGAGAGCCAGACCCCUCCACCACCCCCAAGACAGCAGGGAACUCACUCCAACAGCCACCCUGGGAUGCUGCCACAGCUGAGCCUGGAGGUGACCGUGACCCUGGCUGACGUCGGACUGCAGCUUUGUAAGGGAGACUGAGCCGGGACCCAGACCUACAAAAGCUGAGAUGAUAAACACUGUUUUAAGCUGCUGUGUGUCGCAGUGACUCGUGUGGUAGUGGAUUUCUAGCAGAGCCGUCGUUCGUGUCUGCCUUCUCUCAGCUCAACACUCUGUAGGGCCACCCAUGCCGUUGUGCAUGUCAACGGUGGAUUUUUUAUUGCGAGUAAUAUUUCAUUCCAUUGCAUGCUCACACCUCGGUUUGUUUAACUGUCUACCUGUUGAUGAGCUCUGGGACAUAUGCAGUUCUGGGCUAUUAUGAGUAAAGCUGCUUUUAACAUUUAAAUACAAGUCUGUGUAUGGACAC
rnacentral:lncRNA from 1 species